rnacentral:rRNA from 1 species
UCCCUACGAAGUAGGCUCCCGAAAGGGCAUCUGUAGAGGUGCUGCAUGGCUGUCGUCAGCUCGUGUCGUGAGAUGUUGGGUUAAGUCCCGCAACGAGCGCAACCCUUGUCUUCUGUUGCCAUCGGGUCAUGCCGGGCACUCUGAAGAGACUGCCGGUGACAAACCGGAGGAAGGUGGGGAUGACGUCAAGUCAGCAUGGCCUUUAUGUCUGGGGCCACACACGUGCUACAAUGGCCGGUACAAACCGUCGCGAUCCCGCGAGGGGGAGCUAAUCGGAGAAAGCCGGUCUCAGUUCGGAUAGCAGGCUGCAACUCGCCUGCUUGAAGUUGGAAUCGCUAGUAAUCGCGGAUCAGCACGCCGCGGUGAAUACGUUCCCGGGCCUUGUACACACCGCCCGUCACAUCACGAAAGCCGGUUGUACUAGAAGUCGCCAUACCAACCCGCAAGGGAGGGAGGCGCCUAAGGUAUGGUCGGUGAUUGGGGUGAAGUCGUAACAAGGUAACCGU